CUACGGGACGCAGCAGUGGGGAAUAUUGCACAAUGGAGGAAACUCUGAUGCAGCAACGCCGCGUGGAGGAUGACACUUCCCUUCUCGUAAACUCCUUUUAUAUAGGAAGAAGAUGACGGUACUAUAUGAAUAAGCGCCGGCUAACUCCGUGCCAGCAGCCGCGGUAAUACGGAGGGCGCAAGCGUUACUCGGAAUCACUGGGCGUAAAGAGCGUGUAGGCGGAUUAAAAAGUCAGAAGUGAAAUCCUAUAGCUUAACUAUAGAACUGCUUCUGAAACUCUUAAUCUAGAAUAUGGGAGAGGUAGAUGGAAUUUCAGGUGUAGGGGUAAAAUCCGUAGAGAUCAGAAGGAAUACCGAUUGCGAAGGCGAUCUACUAGAACAUUAUUGACGCUGAGACGCGAAAGCGUGGGGAGCAAACAGGAUUAGAUACCCUCGUAGUC
rnacentral:rRNA from 1 species